rnacentral:rRNA from 1 species
UACGUAGGGUGCAAGCGUUGUCCGGAAUUAUUGGGCGUAAAGAGCUCGUAGGCGGUUUGUCGCGUCUGCUGUGAAAACCCGAGGCUCAACCUCGGGCCUGCAGUGGGUACGGGCAAACUAGAGUGCGGUAGGGGGAGAAUGGAAUUCCUGGUGUAGCGGUGGAAUGCGCAGAUAUCAGGAGGAACACCGAUGGCAAAGGCAGUUCUCUGGGCCGUAACUGACGCUGAGGAGCGAAAGCGUGGGGAGCGAACAGG